rnacentral:lncRNA from 1 species
UCCGGAUAAACAAAUGCGCUGAGGGUCCGCACGUAUAUUUUUUAGCUUAAUUUCUGUGUUAAACAUGCUAUAUGGAAAGGUGACAGCGAUUGAAACGAAUAAAAUACAAUCCAUACUUAUUAACAAAACCGACGAUUCGGGUUGACAAUGAGAAGUAUGAGUAAAAUAGCGAUACAACUAGCUGGAGUCAAUCUGGGUCGCAAGACGCACAUAAAAGAUACAUCAAUAUUGAUGAACAUAGAACAUUAGACCUGUACCACUGGCAUCCUGUAUCUUCGCCAGAACAGACCAGAUACCUCACAAGACAGAAAGUGUAUGUCUAGCAAAGCAUUCUAUGGUUGAAGCUCUAAUAUCAGGUUGUAAGUGUUUUGGUACAGACACUGAAGAGAGAAGGCGGCUAAAAAAACUGCAAUUCAGGUGUGAGUUGUUACAGUUUGAAGAAAAUGUGAUUGAAAAGUGAUUGUAUUUUGUUCUGUAGGGAUGAAAAUCUGAUCCGAUACUUUGUUGUGGAAAGGGUAAAAUUCAUGUGGAACUCUGAAGAAGACAAAGACCAGAAACUUAGAGGGUUAGAAGUUAACAGUACAUGUUCAUAUUUCCAUGAGGUGAAAGGUUUGAGCUGCGAACACCAAAGCAAAAGGGAAAUGUAUGAAGUUCAGUUGUAAUGGUAAUGAGAUGCAGGUCUUUGUCCUACAUGGUGAGGGAAACAGUGUAUGGCAUUUUUGGAAAACAUGUAAUAGGAUGAAAAUUACAAAAAAUGACUGGAGAUCUUUGCUUAGUUCUAGCUUUCUGAGUGAUUUGAUGUUAAUCCACUCAGAGACUGAGUCUGUUGAGAAGUUUGAUCCAUUGGAUUCAAUAUUAUUAUGGAAUUCCAGUGGUAGUAGGGCUAGGAGACCAUUCUGCAAUGAUAAAAAGGUAAAGAAAUUUACCACAUAAACCAGCUGAACAGAUUAUGGCACCAUUACCUAGUAUUUGUUGUAGUGUGCCAAUGAGAGCAUUUGUCCAUUCGGCAUUGGAUUAUGUGGGACCUUCCAUAACUGUCCAAGGUCGAGGAAAACGGCCUCAAAUUUGAUAUUUAUGUCUGUUUACUUGUCUGAACACAUGGGCUGUUCAUCUUGAAAUCUCAUUUGGAAUAGAUACUGAUGCAUUUCUAAAAUCAUUUUAUCAAUUUGCUGGUCAUAGAGGUCUUCCAGGAACAAACUCAAAAAUGGAACAAACUUUGUCGAUAGUGAAAACGAACUCAGAUAAUUAGUAAACGCGCUGAAUCAUGAUCAAAUAAAAGAAAAGACAGCAAAUAAAGGAGUUCAGUGGCAUUUCAUUCCUACAUUAGUGCCACAUUGGGGAGGUGUAAAUGAAAUCAUGGUGAAAAGUGCUGAACGAGCCAUUAAUUCCAUGUUACAGAAUGCUUCAGUGUCAGAUGAGGAACUUAUGACCGCAUUUGUAGCAGCAGAAGCUCUUAUCAAUAUGAGACCUCUUAUUUAUCUUACUCCAAAUCAUUUCCAACAUGGACAAAUAGGAGGGGAGUUCGCACCUGAGAGCCUUGAUACAAAUGAUUUCAACCCUACAAAUGGUGCGAGUUCAAGAGUUAGUCUGAAACUUUUGGGGUUGUUGGAUUUGUGAGUGGUUGCCAAACCUGUAUACCUCUGAGAAAUGGUACAGAGUUUGACCAGAUCUGAAAGUUGGAGAUGUCGUUAUCAUGGUAUAGCCUUGGCCUUUAGGUGGUGUUACAUCCAUUCAUACAAGUCACGAUGGUCAUGUGAGAGCAGUUAACAUUUUAGUAAGUUGUAAAGAAUUCACACAGCCCAUUACAAAGUUAAGCCCAUUAGAAAUUAACAGCAGUGAUUAAUAGUAAUGUGUUAUGCAGAAAUAUUGCAUUUUAUAUGACAAAAAGUGUAAAUAUUCUUGCGUGUGGAGGGCAUAAUAAUACCUCUAAAUGAUUUCGUGUGUGGAGGGCAUAAUCCCUAAAAAAUAAUUUUGCAUGUGGAGGGCAUAAUAAUCCCUCAAAAAUAAUUCUGCGUGUGGAGGGCAUAAUCCCUAGAAAAUAAUUUCGCAUGUGGAGGGCAUAAUAAUCCCUCAAAAAUAAUGCUACGUGUGGAGGGCAUAAUAAUCCCGCAAAAAUAAUGCCAUGUGUGGAGGGCAAAAUAAUCCCUCAAAAAUAAUGCCACGUGUGGAGGGCAUAAUAAUCCAUCAGAAAUAAUGUCGCGUGUGGAGGGCAUAAUAAUCCCUCAAAAAUGAUUUCGCAUGUGGUGGUCAUAAUAAUCCCUCAAAAAUAAUGCCAUGUUUGGAGGGCAUAAUAAUCCCUCAAAAAUAAUGCCACGUGUGGAGGGCAUAAUAAUCCAUCAGAAAUAAUGUCGCGUGUGGAGGGCAUAAUAAUCCCUCAA